ACCAACAAAUUGUGGCACACACACCAGGUUUAAAUGAUCUACUAGACAUGGAUUUGUCAUUUCGCGAUCGCGAUGUCCCUCCAAGUGCACCAGACUCACAAGUCCCUCCAAAUGCACCAAAUUCACAAGCUCCAACAAGUGUGCCAGAAACACAGG